rnacentral:piRNA from 1 species
UACCAGGUAGUGCAAGGCAGGAAGCGC